rnacentral:rRNA from 1 species
AUUGAACGCUGGCGGCAGGCCUAACACAUGCAAGUCGAACGGUAACAGGAAGAAGCUUGCUUCUUUGCUGACGAGUGGCGGACGGGUGAGUAAUGUCUGGGAAACUGCCUGAUGGAGGGGGAUAACUACUGGAAACGGUAGCUAAUACCGCAUAACGUCGCAAGACCAAAGAGGGGGACCUUCGGGCCUCUUGCCAUCGGAUGUGCCCAGAUGGGAUUAGCUAGUAGGUGGGGUAACGGCUCACCUAGGCGACGAUCCCUAGCUGGUCUGAGAGGAUGACCAGCCACACUGGAACUGAGACGCGGUCCAGACUCCUACGGGAGGCAGCAGUGGGGAAUAUUGCACAAUGGGCGCAAGCCUGAUGCAGCCAUGCCGCGUGUAUGAAGAAGGCCUUCGGGUUGUAAAGUACUUUCAGCGGGGAGGAAGGGAGUAAAGUUAAUACCUUUGCUCAUUGACGUUACCCGCAGAAGAAGCACCGGCUAACUCCGUG